rnacentral:tRNA from 1 species
GCGUCGGUGGUAUAACGGUUAGCAUAGCUGCCUUCCAAGCAGUUGACCCGGGUUCGACUCCCGUCCGACGCA